UGGCUCGACGAGUUGCUGGCCGGCGAAGGCGUCGCCGAUGCCCGCGGCGAGGUCUGGCUGCAGACCUAUCCGCGCGUGCUCGGCUACGUGUUCAAGCCGG
rnacentral:tRNA from 2 species